rnacentral:lncRNA from 1 species
AAAAAGGAAACCAAGAAAAGAAAUCCCGAUGAAGUAAUCUAAUAAUUGAGAAAGUACUUAACUUUUGGUGCUCAACUAUUCUUCUUACUACGAUGCAAGAACCAAACUCUUCAAAAGCAAAAAAAAAAAUAUAUAUAUAUAUAAUCCUUCUUUUACAAUCAACGUGCAUUCAUAGUUACACAUAUCAUCAAGCACCUAGGCUCCAUCUUUACUAUAGAGCGCAGUGUACAACAGGUAUUGACUAGUAGGAACAUCUUUCGGAUUUCCCCUAUGAGUAAUACUGAAUCCCUACAUAUUUUAUGACUGUCUUUUCUUGUACUCAGUUUCCUUUAUCGCUUUAAGCUCUAGUUCCACAACACAUCUAAGCAUCUAAUUUGCAUCGUAGUGUUUAACAUCGUACAUAACACACUCUCUUUUCAUCUGUGUGUUAAAAUUCUUGCUUCUAGUAUUUGUGAGGUAUUUGUUCCAUAGAACUACUUGCAGUGUCUUGAAUAAUACUUGACAAUACUUUAAUUCAGGAGUGUUUAUCCAACACUCAACUUGAGGACGG